AAUUCAGGUGGCAAUAGUUUCAACGAGUCUACAAAACCAUACUAGAGCCUUAGAUUCUACUAGAUAUCGAGUACUAGCAUUUCAACAUGUUCUUUCACACAUCUUAAUCGUCAUCACAACCCAAGUUAACUGAAGACAUAAUAGAAUUGCAAGAGACAUCAGUGUCUUCAUCUUCAGCUCUUUGAGGCAAGCUUUUCCUUUGCCUUCUGAAUCUUCAA
rnacentral:lncRNA from 1 species